rnacentral:tRNA from 1 species
GGUCCCGUAGCUCAGCUGGAUAGAGCACAAGUUUUCUAAACUUGCGGUCCUUGGUUCGAUUCCAAGCGGGAUCA